CAGCGAAAUAAUACCUUGUGUUUAUUUGAGUAUCGCCAAGUUGGCCAACAACAGAUACUUCUUCAGAUAUAAGGAAUCAAAGUGAUUUCCCCUACUUCCUCCAGGAUCUGUACCUUCACAGAAGCCUAACAUGGAAACCUAAUUACCUUAUGAAGAACUUGAUGUGACAAAAUCUGUGAGAAGUACUACUGCGCUAGAAACAUCUUCCCCACUGUGCCUGUCUCUAGUGCGAAAACAUAAGCCUUUGAAAA
rnacentral:lncRNA from 1 species